UAAGGAAUAUUGGGCAAUGGACGCAAGUCUGACCCAGCCAUGCCGCGUGCAGGAUGACAGCCCUACGGGUUGUAAACUGCUUUUGUACGGGAAAAACCCCUCGGACGUGUCCGAGGCUGAUGGUACCGUAAGAAUAAGGAUCGGCUAACUCCGUGCCAGCAGCCGCGGUAAUACGGAGGAUCCAAGCGUUAUCCGGAUUCAUUGGGUUUAAAGGGUCCGCAGGCGGACCGAUAAGUCAGGGGUGAAAUCCUACGGCUCAACCGUAGAACUGCCCUUGAUACUGUUGGUCUAGAGUACAGUUGAGGUGGGCGGAAUGUGUCAUGUAGCGGUGAAAUGCAUAGAUAUGACACAGAACACCGAUCGCGAAGGCAGCUCACCAAGCUGUAACUGACGCUCAGGGACGAAAGCGUGGGGAUCAAACAGG
rnacentral:rRNA from 1 species